UCCGAUAUGGUGUAACGGCUAACAUUGCCGCCUUUCACAGCCCAUUGAAUGGAAGGAAUCCGCGGCAGCUCGGGGUUCGAUUCCCCGUAUCGGAA